UUGGUUCUUGCGUAAAUUUUUUUUAUGCCAAGAAGUGCUUUGUCGCCCUUUCUUUGGUUCCAUUUGGAUGAGGAUAAAUUUGUUUAAUCAUUCAAAUUCAAAGGGUGUGAAUUUGACUUGAAAACAAUGUAAAACUUAUCUUUAUCCUUGGUGCCACCAUCUUUGGAAGGCUUAGUUUUGUGCGACGAUUUGGGAAGGGAAAUGACGUGAGAAAUGUUUUAUGCCUCAGCUCUUCUAAUGGCCCACUUGGAUAAGAACAAAGUGAUUUUGGUUUGAAUUCAAAAUGAUUUGAAUUCGAACUAAUUUGAACCACUUAUCCAUAUCCAAUCUCUUCUCCACAUCCACCUUAAAUUCCUCUCAAUUUUGUGCGACAAAGAGGUUGAAUUUUAUCGUGAAAAAAUCCUUCUGAGAGAGAGGGGGCGUGAAACAGAGAGGGGGCGGGUUUAUGUGUGUGAGAAAUAGAAGAAG
rnacentral:lncRNA from 1 species